GGUUGUUGUGGAAGCUCGGAGUAGUGAUCCGGCUGGUGGAACCUGUCCCAUUGUAGAAGCUCGUCUGGGAUCCAGCUUCGAAGAAGCUCGACUGAAGUCUACCUGUAAUAGAAGUUCGGAAGAAAUUUGUUUACAGUAGAGGCUCGAAUGGAAUUCGCUUACAGUAGAGAUCCGGAGUAGGCCACCUGCAGUAGGAGUUCAGAGUAGACUGGUUGCGAUAGAAGUUCAGAGUAGAGAUCCGGCUGGUGGAGCCCUUCCAUUGUCAAAAUUCGUCUGGGAUCCAUCCACUGUAGGAGUU
rnacentral:lncRNA from 1 species